rnacentral:rRNA from 1 species
UACGUAGGGUGCGAGCGUUAAUCGGAUUUACUGGGCGUAAAGCGUGCGCAGGCGGCCCGUUAAGACAGGUGUGAAAUCCCUGGGCUCAACCUAGGAAUUGCGCUUGUGACUGGCGGGCUCGAGUACGGUAGAGGGGGGUGGAAUUCCUGGUGUAACAGUGAAAUGCGUAGAGAUCAGGAGGAACACCGAUGGCGAAGGCAGCCCCCUGGGCCUGUACUGACGCUCAUGCACGAAAGCGUGGGGAGCAAACAGG